rnacentral:rRNA from 1 species
AGAGUUUGAUCCUGGCUCAGGAUGAACGCUAGCGGCAGGCUUAACACAUGCAAGUCGAGGGGUAUAGUAGCAAUACUAGAGACCGGCGCACGGGUGCGUAACGCGUAUGCAAUCUACCUUUUACAAAGGGAUAGCCCAGAGAAAUUUGGAUUAAUACCUUAUAGUAUAUUUGAAUGGCAUCAUUUAAAUAUUAAAGAUUUAUCGGUAAAAGAUGAGCAUGCGUCCCAUUAGCUAGUUGGUAUGGUAACGGCAUACCAAGGCGACGAUGGGUAGGGGUCCUGAGAGGGAGAUCCCCCACACUGGUACUGAGACACGGACCAGACUCCUACGGGAGGCAGCAGUGAGGAAUAUUGGUCAAUGGGCGCAAGCCUGAACCAGCCAUGCCGCGUGCAGGAAGACGGUCCUAUGGAUUGUAAACUGCUUUUAUACGAGAAGAAACACUACCUUGCGAGGUAGCUUGACGGUAUCGUAAGAAUAAGGAUCGGCUAACUCCGUGCCAGCAGCCGCGGUAAUACGGAGGAUCCAAGCGUUAUCCGGAAUCAUUGGGUUUAAAGGGUCCGUAGGCGGAUUUGUAAGUCAGUGGUGAAAUCUUUCAGCUUAACUGAGAAAUUGCCAUUGAUACUGCAAGUCUUGAAUAAUAAGGAAGUAACUAGAAUAUGUAGUGUAGCGGUGAAAUGCUUAGAUAUUACAUGGAAUACCAAUUGCGAAGGCAGGUUACUACUUAUUUAUUGACGCUGAUGGACGAAAGCGUGGGUAGCGAACAGGAUUAGAUACCCUGGUAGUCCACGCCGUAAACGAUGGAUACUAGCUGUUGGUAGCAAUAUCAGUGGCUAAGCGAAAGUGAUAAGUAUCCCACCUGGGGAGUACGAACGCAAGUUUGAAACUCAAAGGAAUUGACGGGGGCCCGCACAAGCGGUGGAGCAUGUGGUUUAAUUCGAUGAUACGCGAGGAACCUUACCAAGGCUUAAAUGUAUUAUGACCGGUUUGGAAACAGACCUUUCGCAAGACAGAAUACAAGGUGCUGCAUGGUUGUCGUCAGCUCGUGCCGUGAGGUGUCAGGUUAAGUCCUAUAACGAGCGCAACCCCUGUUGUUAGUUACCAACGAGUAAUGUCGGGAACUCUAACAAGACUGCCAGUGUAAACUGUG